rnacentral:siRNA from 1 species
GGAAGCUAACUCGCCGGUGAA